AUUGAACGCUGGCGGCAUGCCUUACACAUGCAAGUCGAACGGCAGCACGGGUGCUUGCACCUGGUGGCGAGUGGCGAACGGGUGAGUAAUAUAUCGGAACGUACCUUAUUGUGGGGGAUAACGCAGCGAAAGCUGUGCUAAUACCGCAUAAUCCCUAAGGGGGAAAGCGGGGGACCGUAAGGCCUCGCGCAAUUAGAGCGGCCGAUACCUGAUUAGCUAGUUGGUGAGGUAAAGGCUCACCAAGGCAACGAUCAGUAGCUGGUCUGAGAGGACGAUCAGCCACACGGGGACUGAGACACGGCCCAGACUCCUACGGGAGGCAGCAGUGGGGAAUUUUGGACAAUGGGGGCAACCCUGAUCCAGCAAUGCCGCGUGAGUGAAGAAGGCCUUCGGGUUGUAAAGCUCUUUUGUCAGGGAAGAGACAGCAGCUCUAACACAGUUUGCGAAUGACGGUACCUGAAGAAUAAGCACCGGCUAGCUACGUGCCAGCAGCCGCCGUAA
rnacentral:rRNA from 1 species